GGUAUACAAAAAAUAAUUUGGCCAAUAAGAGUUCCUUAAAAGUGUUAUGUUUACAACUUUAAGUUAAUCAUAUUCAUAUAAAUAUUCCGAAAAUGUCUUCAUUAUAAAUAUUUAAGUAAAACCUAAAUCAAUUAGCGCAUUUAAUUGGAGAAAAUAAUGCGUGAGCCGUCGACUGGCGGUGAGGACGCGGGAAGGUCGCACUCCUCUGCCGCGCAUGCGUCGUGGUCAUCACAACAUCGCCAAACUAUGCCAAUCUUCUGACCUCUGGCAAACUUUCGGCAAUAAGCUUCAAUAUAAAAUCACAACAAACUUUAUUAAAGAACGGUGUAGGUAGGUAUAAAAACAUAUGUUUUGAAGAAUCUACUAACCAUUAAAACCGCAGGAGUUUUGAUUUUAUAUAAUCCAAGACAUUGUUUAUAUAAACUAAGUUAACCAUGUCAACUUUACCGUGUGGAGACAGAAAUACUGAUUUUAACAAUAUUGUUUCCUACCUUAUUUCCACAAAUAGUUGCCCACGGCGACAUCUUACGACUUUUUCUAGCACUUUUGCUCUGAAAUAGUUGUAGAAAUUUAACUUCCGCCAUUUAGAGACUAUGAUAAUUUAUGUUAUUUAUUUAAUUUACUUUAAUAUAAUAUGAAAAUCAAAGCGAAAAUAGACCAUUCAAAAAAGG